rnacentral:rRNA from 1 species
ACAAGGUAUGCAUUGGGGGACCAGCGGAAGGAUCAUUUAAGAGUUGCAAAACUCCCUUAUACCAUCGCGAACGCUACCCCGCAUCGUUGCUUCGGCGGUCAGGCGGCCCCCCACGGGGCCGCCUCUCCGGCCCCCCCCCCCACGGGGCGCCCGCCGGAGGAGCACAACCAAACCAUUACAACUAUUGGCCUCUCUGAGUAUGAUUUUAAAUAAGUCAAAACUUUCAACAACGGAUCUCUUGGUUCUGGCAUCGAUGAAGAACGCAGCGAAAUGCGAUAAGUAAUGUGAAUUGCAAAAUUCAGUGAAUCAUCGAAUCUUUGAACGCACAUUGCGCCCGCCAGUAUUCUGGCGGGCAUGCCUGUUCGAGCGUCAUUUCAACCAUCAAGCCCUGCUUGCGUUGGGGUCCUGCGGCUGCCCGCAGGCCCUAAAAACCAGUGGCGGGCUCGCUAGUCACACCGAGCGCAGUAAUACAUCUCGCUCUGGGCGUGCGGCGGGUUCUUGCCGUUAAACACCCCCUUUUACCCAAGGUUGACCUCGGAUCAGGUAGGAAUACCCGCUGAACUUAAGCAUAUCAAUAAGCGGAGGAA